AGUCGAGCGGCAGCACGGGAAGCUUGCUUCCUGGUGGCGAGCGGCGGACGGGUGAGUAAUGCAUAGAAAUCUGCCCGGUAGUGGGGGAUAACCUGGGGAAACCCAGGCUAAUACCGCAUACGUCCUACGGGAGAAAGCAGGGGAUCUUCGGACCUUGCGCUAUCGGAUGAGUCUACGUCGGAUUAGCUUGUUGGUGAGGUAAUGGCUCACCAAGGCGACGAUCCGUAGCUGGUCUGAGAGGAUGAUCAGCCACAUCGGGACUGAGACACGGCCCGAACUCCUACGGGAGGCAGCAGUGGGGAAUAUUGGACAAUGGGCGAAAGCCUGAUCCAGCCAUGCCGCGUGUGUGAAGAAGGCCUUCGGGUUGUAAAGCACUUUCAGUGGGGAAGAAAGCCUUGAGGCCAAUACCCUCGAGGAAGGACAUCACCCACAGAAGAAGCACCGGCUAACUCCGUGCCAGCAGCCGCGGUAAUACGGAGGGUGCAAGCGUUAAUCGGAAUUACUGGGCGUAAAGCGCGCGUAGGCGGUCUGAUAAGCCGGUUGUGAAAGCCCCGGGCUCAACCUGGGAACGGCAUCCGGAACUGUCAGGCUAGAGUGCAGGAGAGGAAGGUAGAAUUCCCGGUGUAGCGGUGAAAUGCGUAGAGAUCGGGAGGAAUACCAGUGGCGAAGGCGGCCUUCUGGACUGACACUGACGCUGAGGUGCGAAAGCGUGGGUAGCANACAGGAUUAGAUACCCUGGUAGUCCACGCC
rnacentral:rRNA from 1 species